CCUUGCCUCGCCUCUUGCUUCUCGCCUAAGGCCAUAAGGUGCUCUGUCGUCUUAGUGUCGCCUUUCACCUUGAUAACACUGAUUUAAGGCUUCUAAAAUUUCUUUUAAGAAGGAAGGAAAAGAAGUGGUAUUGCAAGGAGUAGGGAAGGCAAGGGUAGCACCUGUUUUACAUGUUGAGAGUUUCUUUCAGCAGAAAAGGAUGAAUUUCAAGUCCCCACUACUGUAUGUAUUGAAUUCUUUGACAACAGCAGGUGCUUCAUCAUCUGACAGUCAACCUACUGCUACAAGAGAUGGAGCUACAUUGACCUCUGAGGAGAAUGAAAAACUACGAUUACUGUUGCAACAAGAUAAUGAGAUAUUUUAGGAACCUCAUGAAUUGACACCAUUUAGGAGGUAUAAUCAUGCCAUUCCUUUGCUGCCCCAUACUCAACUAAUUAAUAUUAGGCCAUAUAGGUAUCCACAUUUUGAAAAGGCUGAAAUUGAGAAGUUGGUGGCAGAUAUGUUAUCUUCCUCAGUCAUUCAGCCUAGCACCAGUCCAUACUCUUCUCCAGUGUUGUUAGUAAAAAAAAAGGAUGGGACAUGGAGAUUCUGUAUAGAUUACAGAAGACUGAAUGAUGUAACUGUAAAAGAAAAGUUCCCUAUUCCCAUUAUUGAUGACUUGUUGGAUGAAUUGAAUGGGGCUAAAUAUUUUUUCAAAAUUGAUUUGACAGCAGGCUAUCACCAAAUUAGGAUGAAUCCUGAAGAUAUUCCUAAAACUGCUUUCAAAACUCAUCAUGGACAUUAUUUUAAAUUUAAUGUCAUGCCUUUUGGACUCACCAAUGCCCCUGCUACUUUUCAAGCAUUAAUGAAUCAUAUCUUUCAGCCUUUUCAGCCUUACCUUAGAAAGUCGGUAUAGGUUUUUUUUUUUAUGAUAUUCUGAUUUACUGAAAGGAUUGGGAUUCCCAUAUUCACAUUUGGAGGAGGUAUUUUAGGUAUUGCAAGAACAACAAUUAUAUGCAAAAUUAUCUAAAUGUUCAUUUGGGCAGACAUAAGUACAGUAUUUGGGCCAUAUUAUUACUGCAACAGGUGUUCCUACUGAUCCUAAGAAAGUGCAAGCUAUGUUACAGUGGCCUAUUCCAGUUUCUAUGAAGGAAUUGAGGAGUUUCUUGAGUUUGACUGGAUACUACAGAAAGUUUGUGAGAGAGUAUGGUAUAAUAAAUAAACCAUUAACUGACUUGCUUAAAAAAGACUCCUUUUAGCGGAGUAAUGCGGCCUAGAAAGCUUUUGAGACUUUAUAAAGGGCCAUGGCAAAAGCUCCAAUUUUGGCAUUACUAGAUUUUAGUUUACCAUUUGUCAUUGAAACUGAUGCAAGUAGUUGGGGAAUGGGGGCUAUACUACAACAACAAGGUUAUCCUUUGGCCUAAAUUUCUAAAGCUUUUGGGCCUAGAAGUAAGGCAUUGUCUGUGUACGAGAGGGAGUUGUUAGCCAUCACUUUUGCAGUCACAAACUGGCGGCAUUACUUAGAGCAAGAUCAGUUUUUCAUUAAAACAGAUCAUGAGAGUAUUAAAUAUUUGCUUGAGCAAAGGCUACACACUAAUUUGCAGCAGAGGGGAAUUUCCAAGCUCUUGGGUCUUGAUUACAAAAUUAUUUAUAGAAAGGGUGUGGAAAAUAAAGUUGCUGAUGCCCUGUCUAGGAGACCUGAUAUGAAUGGCAAAUCUGCUACUCUUUCCUGUUGUCCACUUCAAUCUGCCAACCUCCCUACUUGGAUGGCCAACCUUAUUCAUAGCUAUGAUGGUGACUCUAAAGCUACUACUAUAAUACAACAGCUCUCUUUGCAUAGUUCAGCUGUAGAUGGCUAUCAAUUGAAACAAGGGGUCCUUUAUUAUCAUAACAAACUAUAUGUGGGUAGUUCCAUUGAUUUGAGGCAGCACUUGAUUGCUUUGUACCAUGACAGUCCUUUGGGGGGGCAUUCCGGGGUGAAUGUGACUUAUUUGAGGUUUAAAAACCACUUCUUUUGGCUUGGUAUGUUGAAGGAUGUUUUUGGGUGGAUUAAACAAUGUGAUACUUGUGCUAGGUGUAAGGGAGAACACUAUGCCACCCCUGGGCUAUUACAACCUCUCCUUGCACCAACUCAGGCUUGGCAGCAUAUUUCAAUGGAGUUUAUUGAGCAUUUACCUAAAUCUAAAGGUAAAGAUACAAUCUUAGUGGUUGUUUGUAGAUUUACUAAGUAUGGCCACUUUAUUCCAUUGACGCAUCCAUAUUCUACUUCUACUGUGGCCAAGCUAUUUUUAGAUCAAAUUUUUAAGUUGCAUGGAGUACCUCAGUCCAUUGUUUCUGACAUUGAUAAAAUCUUUACUAGUUUAUUUUGGAAGGAGUUAUUUAAAUGUUUGGGAACAACACUGGCAUUUAGUACAGCUUACCAUCCUCAGUCUAAUGGUAAGACUGAAAGACUUAAUCAGUGUUUAGAAGGAUAUUUGGGGUAAAUUUCAAUAACUAUCCCUGAACUUAAAUGGUUGUAACACUACAGUCCUUAAACUUUAAAACGUAACAUAAAACCCCCUAAACUUUCAAAUUUUACAAAGUAAAAUCCCUCUAACUUUCAAUUACUGAUUUUUCAGUUGAAAACUGAUGUGAACAGCUCCCACAUGGCUCUUAGUCAAUAUUUCUCUCUUCUCUCUUAUUCAAAUUGUAAAAUUAUUCUCUUUGCAUCUGAAAAAUCAUUCUGUUUACAGUGAGAAAAAGAAUUCAAUUUACACAUAACUUGAGAGAGAAAAGAGAAAUAUUGAUUAAGCUCCACGCUAGAACUGUUCAGGUUAGCAUCUAACUGAAAAACUGACAAUUAGAGGUUAGAGGGAUUUUACUGUACAAAAUUUGAAAGUUGAAGGGGUUUUAUGUUACAUUUUUAAGUUGAAGGACUAUAAUGUUAUACUAGAUAAGUUCAGGGAUGGUUGUCAAAAUUUAUCCGAAUAUUUGAGAUGCAUGGCUUAUUUGAAACCCUAUACCUGGUGCACUUUGCUUCCUCUUGCAGAAUGGUGGUAUAAUUCCUCUUUUCACAGUGCUAUAAAGAUGGCACCUUUUGAGGCAUUAUAUGGUUAUUCACCAUCAUUUCUUCCACUAAUCCCUGUGGAUUCUCCUACUGUUGGGGUUGUGGACACAUUAUUGCAAGAAAGGCAGCAAUUAGAUAAGUUGUUGAGCGAGAAUUUAUUACUAGCACAGAAUAUAAUGAAAUAAUAGGUGGAUAAACAGAGGUCAAAAAGACAGUUUGAUGUGAGGAAAUGGGUAUACUUGAAGUUGCAGCCUUACAGACAAGCCUCAGUAUCUGUUAGGCACUCCUUUAAGCUAUCUCCUAAGUACUAUGGGCCUUAUCAGAUCAUUACUAAGUAUGGUACAGUAGCUUAUAAGCUACUGCUGCCUCCAACUUCUUCCAUACACCUUGUUUUCCAUGUUUCAAUGCUGAAGAAGAAAUUGGGGAAUAAUGUGACUCCAUUAGUUGAUCUGCCAACUAUGAAUGAAGAACAAGUAGUUUUGCCACCUGAGCAAGUUCUGCAAACCAGAACCAUUACUAGAGAUCAGCAAACUGUGUUGCAAGGGUUGAUUAAAUGGCAGAACUUACCUCCUGAAGAUGCAACUUGGGAAGACCAUUCUUUUAUAUAGGCCCAGUUUCCCAAUGUUGUACUUUCUUGGGGACAAGAAAGCUCUAAAGGGGGAGGAAUUGUUACGUAUCAGAGGAGAAAGUAUAAAAAGAAAUAGUGAGUGGUUAGAAAUGUUGGGAGUUAGUUUAAAGAGUUAGCUUGGGAGUAUGUUUAGCGGGAACUAAGAGAGAGGUAGUUACUAAAGUUGGUGAGCUAUAAAGUUGUUGAGUUGUGUAACUACUCUUAGUAGUAGGUUGUUACUAAGAUGUUAUAUAAAGCUCAAUAGUUAUUCUUGUAUUUCAUUCUGGAACAAUAAUCAAGAAAUACAACUCUCUCUUCUUCUCUUCUUUAUAUCUCUCCUUCUAAUCUUCUUCUUCUCUUCUUUUCUAAAUCUUCUAUAAUUCUUUGUUAGGGACUCUUACCCUAACAGAUGCCAGCAGCCAUUACCCACACCAUCAAACAUACUGUACUCUUCACCAUCAAAUAGAAAUUUGUCACCUCCCUCAACUGCCACGUCUCUCUUGACCUCAUGCUCCACCUUGCCACCACUUUACAUUACUCCAACAUAAAAAAAAAAAAAAAAUCUCAAACACCAACCUUGGACAUCCUAACCACAUCGACAUCGAUAAAGAGUCAGUUCUUUGAUUCACAAUGACAUGUUAUCGAUUUGGCCACUAAUGAUCUCCACAGGCCCAUGGUCCCACAUCAGUGUUUUUGCAACAAGGGCAAGGAUGUGAAAGAGGAUAUAGUUUUGAGGGAAAUGGUCUAAAAUGCAGCAUUUUGGCCAUUUUAGGGAACGAGGUGGGCCCACAUUCAAGAAGAAUUUCCAAUUCAAAAUUUCCCUGCCUUGCAAGCCAUGUUACCACAUGACCACUAAUUGCACAUACCUUAGUACAGUGGAUACAACAAUUCAAAAGUUCAUGUAGCAUACAAAGCGAUGAUUGCAAUUGAAAAUGGUCAUAAAAUUCAGGA